rnacentral:rRNA from 1 species
UACGAAGGGGGCGAGCGUUGUUCGGAAUUACUGGGCGUAAAGGGCGCGCAGGCGGCCUUAGAAGUCAGAUGUGAAAGCCCCGGGCUCAACCUGGGAAUGGCAUUUGAUACUCUGAGGCUGGAGUACGGGAGAGGAGAGUGGAAUUCCCAGUGUAGAGGUGAAAUUCGUAGAUAUUGGGAAGAACACCGGUGGCGAAGGCGGCUCUCUGGACCGUAACUGACGCUGAGGCACGAAGGCCAGGGGAGCGAACGGG